AUUGUGACGUCACACAAGCCAAGGACUUUGCUGCUUUUUCCAUUCCGUAUGCUGAACGCAGGGAAUUGACACACCGCCGGCCGGGGCUGUUCUCUCAGUUACAAGUUCAUCUUGCUCCGCUGUCUAACAGGAACGGACUGACUCUACACAGGACCUCCACUAGUACGACAUUACUGAAUUACAGGAAGAACAAACAAAAUCCUUGCGCAGAAGAAAAUUGGUCAAUAACCUAGAGAUCAACCAAAAGCACCAAGACUGUAAACAUUAGGAAUCAUAAACCAGUGGACAUUAUUUCCCUAUGCACUGAAAUCGGUCAUAACUUUACCAGCAGUAAAUAAAUAAGGGAAAUCAAGAGGAAGAUGAAAGGACAAGAAAGGAACGGAGAGUGAGAAGAAGAAGAAAGAAAGGAAAACCAUUAUAAACACACGUUCAUGCAAUCAUAUAGACAUACAUACAAACAUACAGGCAGGAAGGGGUGAAACAAGCCCAUGCCCUUUCAAGAUGGAGGUUGAGGGGCAAAGUUAUGACCGAGACCCACUAGGCUCACAUUAAGGCUUUAUAAUUAUCCGAAUAGGUUGACAGUCUACUAACUUCUUUUUUUUAUCCCUAAAAUGAUAAUAGACCAGAGACAGUGCUAAAAUUUUGCAGAAUAUGACUGUGUUUAAAUCUUUUUAUCGUAAAGAGUAAAAACAUACUUGUACCAUUUUAAAA